AUACGGAGGGUGCAAGCGUUGUUCGGAAUUACUGGGCGUAAAGAGCGUAUAGGCGGUAAGGUCAGUCAGGCGUGAAAGCCCUGGGCUUAACCCAGGAAGUGCGUUUGAAACUACCUUACUAGAGUAUGUGAGAGGAGAGUGGAAUUCCCGGUGUAGAGGUGAAAUUCGUAGAUAUCGGGAGGAACACCCGUGGCGAAGGCGACUCUCUGGACCAAUACUGACGCUGAGACGCGAAAGCGUGGGGAGCAAACAGGAUUAGAUACCCUGGUAGUCCACGCCGUAAACGAUGAGCACUAGGUGUAGCGGGUAUUGACCCCUGCUGUGCCGUAGCUAACGCAUUAAGUGCUCCGCCUGGGGAGUACGGCCGCAAGGCUAAA
rnacentral:rRNA from 1 species